rnacentral:pre_miRNA from 1 species
AAACAGCCCCCUAUGUUUUGAUUCUUUGGCAGUUUUGGACCCCCAGUCCAUUGUUGACUCGGUCAACGCUGACGUGGCACCCUAAGUGAGGUGCCACAUGUCAAAAUUUUUAUUUUUUUUUGCCUUGGGGGUCCAAAACUGCCAAAGAAUCAAAACAUAGGGGGCUGUUU